CCUACGGGAGGCAGCAGUGAGGAAUAUUGGUCAAUGGGCGAGAGCCUGAACCAGCCAAGUCGCGUGAAGGAUGAAGGUUCUAUGGAUUGUAAACUUCUUUUGUCCAAGGGUAAAGGAGUCCACGUGUGGAUUUUUGCAAGUAUCGGACGAAUAAGCAUCGGCUAACUCCGUGCCAGCAGCCGCGGUAAU
rnacentral:rRNA from 1 species